GAACUCCUGGGAUGUGCGAGGCCCCUUUUUAUUUUGAACCUACAUCGACAUAAAGGGACUCCAAGAUCGCAGCUCGGAUGUCAGACCUCUCGUUGUGGUAGGCAGAAGCGCUGUUGAGGACACCCACCUAGCUCUGGCUAGGCGUCAAAGAGAAGGGAACGGCAUUCCGGGAUUUAA
rnacentral:other from 1 species